GGGGAUGUUGGGAUUCGAUAAUAAGGUACAUUAAAAACAUUCGGAACGUGUUUUGCUGCUUUCACGUCAAAAAAGCGGCCAACAAAAAGUGUAAACAAGAUUGCCCGCAAAGUAAAGGCUGCUUUCAGCAUGCCUGUCUUUGCUCCUGUUGCCGCUUAAUAAAUUGCGGCAACCAUCCGUUCGGAGACUCCCAAUAUCCGGUCACGGGUGUCAUAUUAUUGGGAUAGGCUAACAGGGAUGCCCCAACUGUUGGCUGAAAAUUAAGGGGCAGGCCGCUCUCUUUUUUGUUCGGUUUUUAAGGAGAGUGGCCAUAUUUAAACCGAACUAUUUCCGUAAAAGUGUUUUUAAUGCCUUAUUAGACGGGGGUUCAACUCCCCCCAUCUCCAC
rnacentral:tmRNA from 1 species